rnacentral:rRNA from 1 species
ACAGAUGCUGACGAGGAGGGAUCAUUA